rnacentral:snoRNA from 1 species
CGGUCGAGAGAGUGUUGUCGGGGCUCGCACUUAUGUGCGCCGCAGUGCCCCGAUGAUUAGUUAAUCCGACCGAAAGUGAUCUAGGCGCCCGUUAUGGGCGCCGCCAGGGUCUACGCCGCCUCGCUUUGUGCCACGGGUUCGCCGGCCGCCGCAAGGCAGCUCCCACCGGCCCUGAGGCCUUUACUGCGGCGCACCCAUACAAUC